GCCUCUUGAUUAAACUAUAAGAGGUCCAGCCUGCCCAGUGACAUUGUUCAACGGCCGCGGUAUCCUAACCGUGCGAAGGUAGCGUAAUCACUUGUCCUUUAAAUGAAGACUAGUAUGAAUGGCCCCACGAAAGCUACACUGUCUCCUUUUUCUAAUCAGUUAAACUAAUCUCCCCGUGAAGAAGCGAGGAUAAACAUAUAAGACGAGAAGACCCUAUGGAGCUUUAAACAAUUAGAAACACUUGUAUAUUUUACUUUCUCCAUCUAAACUUAAUUUCACAUCUUGUUUCUAGUUUUAGGUUGGGGUGACCGCGGAGAAAAAAUUAACCUCCACGCUGAAAGAGACAUCUCUAAACAAAAAGCUACACCUUUACGUAUUAACAUAUUAACUUAAAUUGACCCAAUAAAUUGAUCAACGAACCAAG
rnacentral:rRNA from 1 species